ACACAGUGCUACAAUGGCAGAUACAAAGAGAAGCGACCUCGCGAGAGCAAGCGGAACUCAUAAAGUCUGUCGUAGUCCGGAUUGGAGUCUGCAACUCGACUCCAUGAAGUCGGAAUCGCUAGUAAUCGUAGAUCAGAAUGCUACGGUGAAUACGUUCCCGGGCCUUGUACACACCGCCCGUCACACCAUGGGAGUGGGUUGCAAAAGAAGUAGGUAGCUUAACCUUCGGGGGGGCGCUUACCACUUUGUGAUUCAUGACUGGGGUGAAGUCGUAACAAGGUAACCGUAGGGGAACCUGCGGUUGGAUCACCUCCUUACC
rnacentral:rRNA from 1 species